GUGACCCCAGGAUGGGCGAGGCCACCCGCCGAGUUUAAGCAUAUCA
rnacentral:rRNA from 1 species